GUUGUAUAGUCAAGUAAUUAAGUGCAUGUGGUGGAUGCCUUGGCAGUCAGAGGCGAUGAAAGACGUGAUAGCCUGCGAAAAGCUCCGGGGAGGCGGCAAAUAUCCUUUGAUCCGGAGAUGUCUGAAUGGGGGAACCCACCUACUUUAAGGUAGGUAUUGCAACAUGAAUACAUAGUGUUGCAAGGCGAACGAGGGGAAGUGAAACAUCUCAGUACCCUUAGGAAAAGAAAUCAAUUGAGAUUCCCUCAGUAGCGGCGAGCGAACGGGGAUCAGCCCAUUAAGUUAUGUGUGUUUUAGUGGAACGCUCUGGGAAGUGCGAACGUAGAGGGUGAUAUUCCCGUACACGAAAGGGCACACAUAAUGAUGACGAGUAGGGCGAGGCACGUGAAACCUUGUCUGAAUAUGGGGGGACCAUCCUCCAAGGCUAAAUACUCCUGACUGACCGAUAGUGAACCAGUACCGUGAGGGAAAGGCGAAAAGAACCCCUGUGAGGGGAGUGAAAUAGAUCCUGAAACCGCAUGCAUACAAGCAGUGGGAGCACCUUCGUGGUGUGACUGCGUACCUUUUGUAUAAUGGGUCAGCGACUUAUAUUCAGUAGCGAGGUUAACCGUAUAGGGGAGCCGUAGAGAAAUCGAGUCUUAAUAGGGCGUUUAGUUGCUGGGUAUAGACCCGAAACCAGGCGAUCUAUCCAUGAGCAGGUUGAAGGUUGGGUAACACUAACUGGAGGACCGAACCCACUGUCGUUGAAAAGCCAGGGGAUGACUUGUGGAUAGGGGUGAAAGGCUAAUCAAGCCUGGUGAUAGCUGGUUCUCCCCGAAAGCUAUUUAGGUAGCGCCUCGGACGAAUACCAUAGGGGGUAGAGCACUGUUUCGGCUAGGGGGUCAUCCCGACUUACCAAACCGAUGCAAACUCCGAAUACCUAUGAGUACUAUCCGGGAGACAGACUGCGGGUGCUAACGUCCGUAGUCAAGAGGAAAACAAUCCAGACCGCCAGCUAAGGCCCCAAAAUCAUAGUUAAGUGGGAAACGAUGUGGGAAGGCAUAGACAGCUAGGAGGUUGGCUUAGAAGCAGCCACCCUUUAAAGAAAGCGUAAUAGCUCACUAGUCGAGUCGGCCUGCGCGGAAGAUGUAACGGGGCUAAAACUAUGUGCCGAAGCUGCGGAUGUAUACUUUGUAUACGUGGUAGGGGAGCGUUCUGUAAGCCGAUGAAGGUGUGUUGAGAAGCAUGCUGGAGGUAUCAGAAGUGCGAAUGCUGACGUGAGUAACGACAAAACGGGUGAAAAACCCGUUCGCCGAAAGACCAAGGGUUCCAGUCCAACGUUAAUCGGGGCUGGGUGAGUCGACCCCUAAGGCGAGGCCGAAAGGCGUAGUCGAUGGGAAAAUGGUUAAUAUUCCAUUACUUCUGUGUAAUGCGAUGAGAGGACGGAGAAGGCUAAAUCAGCCUGGCGUUGGUUGUCCAGGUGAAAGGAUGUAGGCAUGUAUCUUAGGCAAAUCCGGGGUACUCUAUGCUGAGAUCUGAUAGCAAGCUGUACUUGUACAGCGAAGU
rnacentral:rRNA from 1 species